UUAAAAGCAAAGAAAAGAAGAGUACAUAUGGAACCAUUUCAUAGAGAGUUCUCAUUGGGUGAAAGAGAACAAAUGGAAAAUAUGGAAGAUGGACUUGGAGCUUUCCUUUUGAAUGAUUAGAAAGGAACGUUUCCCGCGUUAAGGGUUUGAGGUGUAGAAAUACACGAACUAAGGUGGUACCACGAGAUUUCGUCCUUGGA
rnacentral:ncRNA from 1 species